rnacentral:rRNA from 1 species
CCUACGGGAGGCAGCAGUGAGGAAUAUUGGUCAAUGGACGAGAGUCUGAACCAGCCAAGUAGCGUGAAGGAUGACUGCCCUAUGGGUUGUAAACUUCUUUUAUAUGGGAAUAAAACGUUCCACGUGUGGGAUUUUGUAUGUACCAUAUGAAUAAGGAUCGGCUAACUCCGUGCCAGCAGCCGCCGUAAUACGGGGGAUCCGAGCGUUAUCCGGAUUUAUUGGGUUUAAAGGGAGCGUAGAUGGGUUGUUAAGUGCGUUGGGAAAGUUUGCGGCUCAACCGUAAAAUUGCAAUUGAUACUGGCAGUCUUGAGUACAGUUGAGGUAGGCGGAAUUCGUGGUGUAGCGGUGAAAUGCUUAGAUAUCACGAAGAACCCCGAUUGCGAAGGCAGUUUACUAAACUGUGACUGACAUUGAUGCUCGAAAGUGUGGGUAUCAAACAGGAUUAGAUACCCUUGUAGUC